CAGACCGAUGUGGUGGAACCGGAACAGCCUGUCUCCAUCUUCCCCCAAGAACCAAGAGAUUAAAGCGGUCCUUCUGCAAGCUUCUGGGUCCAGGAACUCGGAGCUGGAAGAGCAAAUACCACGUCUGGUCUACUGAAUUGGCAAGCCUCCUGGCUCAGGCACCACUGGACUCCAAUGUUCAGAAAACGGACAGUUGCCAUGUUGAGCUCAUCUGCACUAAAGGAUUAGAAGCAAAUAGAAUCUACCCUAGGAUCCAAGCUCAAAGGAUCUGGCCUGCUUGCUGGUGUCUUCCCCUGGC